AAUAUCACUGAGGGCCGAGGCAGCAAUCCUUUUCAAAGCAAUUUCUGGCUCCUGGAUACAGAGCACUAAAAGAGGGACAGCUCCUGCAUCCACCACAGCUUGUGACAGUUCUGUGGGUCCAAGAAAAGUAAUUAAGGAGAGAAACACCUAAGGGUGGCUGCAAUCAAAAUGAGAUAAUGGAUAAGAACUGCAGGGCACAGAGCCAGCCUCGCAACAAUGACUCACUCGUUACAGGGCAGCUGCUCUUCUCUAUACAACUGGAGAAUAUAGAAGUGAAAAGAAGCAUCUUUAAUUCUACCAGCGUGGUAAUGCAAUGUGCAUUUUAUAAUCUAAUCCAUAGGAAAGCUCAUUUGACAGUAUUGUAACCAUAAUUUACAACUUUCUCCUUUUUAGUAUUUAAUUUCUUUUCCUCAUUAACAUGUAAGGACUCUAAUUACCUUUUACUUUGUUGCAUGAGAUUUCAUUAAAUGGAUUAUUAUAAUUUAA